rnacentral:rRNA from 1 species
CGGGACGGGUGAGGAAUACAUCGGAAUCUACUCUGUCGUGGGGGAUAACGUAGGGAAACUUACGCUAAUACCGCAUACGACCUACGGGUGAAAGCAGGGGAUCUUCGGACCUUGCGCGAUUGAAUGAGCCGAUGUCGGAUUAGCUAGUUGGCGGGAUAAAGGCCCACCAAGGCGACGAUCCGUAGCUGGUCUGAGAGGAUGAUCAGCCACACUGGAACUGAGACACGGUCCAG